CGUGUGGUGUGGCUUGGAAGAAAGAACAUUAUGUCGUCACCUAGCGACUUUUUGCCUGGCCGAGGAGUGUCUGAGGACAUCCUUUCACUUUUGGAGGAGCAGAGGAUUGACAGUGAUGUCAUAGCACUGAUGGACGAUGCCACCCUUGCCAAUUAUGUCCCUUGCUAUGGAGACCGUAUUGCACUCUUCAAUUUUUGCAAGACUAAACAGCUCCCAUCCAAAAGAAAAAUGGACUUUUG